rnacentral:lncRNA from 1 species
UAACGUGCACACUGAGGAACCAUGGUGUGUCAAUUUACUGUCAUUAUUCUUGCUUGACUCAGGGUGCAGCAGGUUUCUCAGGCUUUCCAGGCUUUAAGGGAUCAGCAGGGAGUCCAGGAAGGGAUGGAGAUGAGGGCCCACCAGGACCACCAGGUCCCCGUGGUGACACAGGGCCUAAGGGGGAGAGGGGCCGAAGAGGCAGGUCGAAGCCAUGUCAGAGGGGAUUACCUGGGACACCAGGACAAAGAGGAGACUCUGUGAGAUUCACAGUCAAUCACUCACCAUUCACACCCUAUAAACACACUUCUCAAGUCUCCUUACAAUGCAGAAACCAAGCUUUCCAGUUGGAUUGCUAGAAACCACAUUGUCAU